UUUGCGGUUGUGACCUGUGACGUCACUUCCUCUUUCCGUUCAUGGCUAUUACGGAAGAAGGUGUAUAAAGGCUAAAACAUGAGAAAGAACAGACGUCGGUGUUCCUGGAGCUGUGAUUCGAAUCAGAUCUGCUGGUGAAGUGUGGAGUUUUCUGGCUGCAGCUUUUCCACGCAUCGUCUGGAAUUCCCUCUGAGCUUUGAUCACCAGCGGCACCCAGCAGGAAGCGUCACUGCUGACGUUUUACUGGAGUGACACCUGGAGAUGGACAGGCUGGCUGGACUGAUGCUGCCUUCCAGUUACCUGGGAAAUAUAGGAACUCAGAGCUCGGAUUUGACGUCAAA